rnacentral:rRNA from 1 species
UUUCCGGUUGAUCCCGCCGGACCUGACUGUUAUCGGAUUGAUACUAAGCCAUGCGAGUCUUUGUAGUAAUACAAGGCAGACGGCUCAGUAACACGUAGUCAACCUACCCUAUGGACGAGAAUAAUCUCGGGAAACUGAGCAUAAUUCUUGAUAGAUCAUAAUGCCUGGAAUGGUUUAUGGUUAAAAUGAUUCGUCGCCAUAGGAUGGGACUGCGGCCUAUCAGCUUGUUGGUGAGGUAAUGGCCCACCAAGGCGAUUACAGGUACGGGCUCUGAGAGGAGAAGCCCGGAGAUGGGUACUGAGACACGGACCCAGGCCCUAUGGGGCGCAGCAGGCGAGAAAACUUUGCAAUGUGCGAAAGCACGACAAGGUUAAUCCGAGUGAUUUCUGCUAAAGAAAUCUUUUACCAGUCGUAAAACCGCUGGUGAAUAAGGGGUGGGCAAGUUCUGGUGUCAGCCGCCGCGGUAAAACCAGCACCUCAAGUGGUCAGGAUGAUUAUUGGGCCUAAAGCAUCCGUAGCCGGCUUUGUAAGUUUUCGGUUAAAUCCAUGCGCUCAACGCAUGGGCUGCCGAAAAUACUGCAUAGCUAGGGAGUGGAAGAGGUAGACGGUACUCACUAGGUA